GGAGGAGGUGCCUGAGGGCAGGCAGGAGGAGAAAGUGGUGGUGCAGGGACGGGAGGGCUUAUGGGGCUUUCAGAUGUCAGAGAUGGAGGAGGUGCAAGAGUAGGAUAUGGAGGAGGAGAAAGUGGCGGUGCAGGGACGGGAGGGCUUAUGGGGCUUUCAGAUGUCAGAGAUGGAGGAGGUGCAAGAGUAGGAUAUGGAGGAGGAGAAAGUGGCGGUGCAGGGACGGGAGGGCUUAUGGGGCUUUCAGAUGUCAGAGAUGGAGGAGGUGCAAGAGUAGGAUAUGGAGGAGGAGAAAGUGGCGGUGCAGGGACGGGAGGGCUUAUGGGGCUUUCAGAUGUCAGAGAUGGAGGAGGUGCAAGAGUAGGAUAUGGAGGAGGAGAAAGUGGCGGUGCAGGGACGGGAGGGCUUAUGGGGCUUUCAGAUGUCAGAGAUGGAGGAGGUGCAAGAGUAGGAUACGGAGGAGGUGCCUGAGGGUAGGGAGGAGGAGAAAGUGGUGGUGCAGGAACGGGAGGGCUUAUGGGGCUUUCAAAUGUCAGAGGUGGAGGAGGCGCAAGAGUAGGAUAAGGUCCUUUCACUGGGGCCGG
rnacentral:lncRNA from 1 species